rnacentral:rRNA from 1 species
AGGCUGCAACUCGCCUGCAUGAAGUUGGAAUUGCUAGUAAUCGCGAAUCAGAAUGUCGCGGUGAAUACGUUCCCGAGUCUUGUACACACCGCCCGUCACACCAUGGGAGUCAGUAACGCCCGAAGCCGGUGACCUAACCGAAAGGGAGGAGCCGUCGAAGGUGGGACCGAUAACUGGGGUGAAGUCGUAACAAGGUAAC